UGGGGAAUAUUGGACAAUGGGGGAAACCCUGAUCCAGCGAUGCCGCGUGAGUGACGAAGGCCCUCGGGUUGUAAAGCUCUUUCGCUUGUGAAGAUAAUGACGGUAGCAAGAUAAGAAGUCCCGGCUAACUCCGUGCCAGCAGCCGCGGUAAGACGGAGGGGACUAGCGUUGUUCGGAAUGACUGGGCGUAAAGGGUGCGUAGGCUGCUCUUUAAGUGAGGCGUGAAAGCCCCGGGCUUAACCUGGGAACUGCGUUUCAGACUGGAGAGCUAGAGGAUGGAAGAGGGAAGUGGAAUUCCUAGUGUAGGGGUGAAAUCCGUAGAUAUUAGGAAGAACACCAGAGGCGAAGGCGACUUCCUGGUCCAUCACUGACGCUGAGGCACGAAAGCGUGGGGAGCGAAAAGG
rnacentral:rRNA from 1 species